rnacentral:tRNA from 1 species
GGGCGGUUACCCAAGUGGCCAAAGGGGGCUGACUGUAAAUCAGCUGGCGUUGCCUUCGGCGGUUCGAAUCCGUCACCGCCCA